AUUGAACGCUGGCGGGAUGCUUAACACAUGCAAGUCGAACGAGUGGCGGACGGGUGAGUAAUGCAUGGGAAUGUAGCUUAUGGAGGGGGAUAACUACGGGAAACUGUAGCUAAUACCGCGUACCAUAGGCAGAGCCCAAGUGGGAUUAGGUAGUUGGGGAGGUAAAGGCUCACCAAGCCGACGAUCGCUAGCUGGUCUGAGAGGAGGACCAGCCACACUGGGACGGAGACGAGGCCCAGAAACCUACGGUAGGAAGCAGUGGGGAAUAUGGAGCAAUGGGGGCAGCCUGACACAGCAAUGCCGCGUGAAUGAUGAAGGCCUUCGGGGUGUAGAGUACUUUCGGUAGCGAUGCGUUAACUGCAGAAGAAGCACCGGCUAACGCCGUGCCAGCAGCCGCGGUAAUAC
rnacentral:rRNA from 1 species